GAUGAACGCUGGCGGCGUGCUUAACACAUGCAAGUCGAACGGUGAAGCCAAGCUUGCUUGGUGGAUCAGUGGCGAACGGGUGAGUAACACGUGAGCAACCUGCCCCGGACUCUGGGAUAAGCGCUGGAAACGGCGUCUAAUACUGGAUAUGAGACGUGAUCGCAUGGUCGUGUUUGGAAAGAUUUUUCGGUCUGGGAUGGGCUCGCGGCCUAUCAGCUUGUUGGUGAGGUAAUGGCUCACCAAGGCGUCGACGGGUAGCCGGCCUGAGAGGGUGACCGGCCACCCUGGGACUGAGACACGGCCCAGACUCCUACGGGAGGCAGCAGUGGGGAAUAUUGCACAAUGGGCGAAAGCCUGAUGCAGCAACGCCGCGUGAGGGAUGACGGCCUUCUGGUUGUAAACCUCUUUCAGCUCCGACGAAGUCACUCGUUGAGGGUGGUGACGGUAGGUGCAGAAGAAGGACCGGCUAACUACGUGCCAGCCGCCACCGUAACAC
rnacentral:rRNA from 1 species